AGAGCGAACGCUGGCGGCAGGCCUAACACAUGCAAGUCGAGCGCCCGUAGCAAUACGGGAGCGGCAGACGGGAUAGUAACACGUGGGAACGCGCCCUUCGGUUCGGAAUAACUCAGGGAAACUUGAGCUAAUACCGAAUACGCCCUUACGGGGAAAGAUUUAUUGCCGAAGGAACGGCCCGCGUCCGAUUAGCUAGUUGGUGAGGUAAUGGCUCACCAAGGCUACGAUCGGUAGCUGGUCUGAGAGGAUGACCAGCAUCACUGGGACUGAGACACGGCCCAGACUCCUACGGGAGGCAGCAGUGGGGAAUAUUGGACAAUGGGCGCAAGCCUGAUCCAGCCAUGCCGCGUGGAUGAUGAAGGCCUUAGGGUUGUAAAGUCCGUUUUAACGGGGAAGAUAAUGACGGUACCCGUAGAAUAAGCCCCGGAUAACUUCGCGCCAGCAGCCGC
rnacentral:rRNA from 1 species